CGCUUGAGGAACUGUCAUACUUGCUAAGGAUUCCUCAGAGAAAGCCUUAUGGAACAAUGGAGGGCAAUGUAAAGAAAGCUUUAAAGAUUGCAGUCGAUGAAAAGGAUUCUAUUUUGGCAAGCCUACCAGCU